GUUCGGUUGCAUCGUAGCAACAUCUGCUUUUCAAACUUUAUUUAUUUUCUGUCAAACCAAAAAGCACAUCAUUGGUGAUUUUAGAGUUCAUUUAGAAAAAUACGGUCCAGAUGCUUCCGCCUAACUAAAAUUCCAUGAAUGGAACCGGUUUAUCCGACGGUGCCCACUGUUCGACGUGGAUAAGUGCCGACAAGUUACGUUCAAAAUCCCCACUGCUAGUGGAACCUGCACCGCAAUCCAGAACCUGUCCUCCAGAUACAACCUUAUCCAGCAGACACAUUCUUCUCCAGCCACAACAACGCUUUUUUUUAUUGUUCUCCGAAAUGCAGCGACAAUCCACCGGAAGCGAGCAGCGAUGUCUUCGGCAGCGCAGUCUUCUUUUGUGUGAACUCCAGCAAUCUCUUGCCGAAUACCGGUUCCUCCGUGGUUCCUCCAGAAUCUGUCGUGUUCUCCUGCAUUUCAUUGCGAUACUGAACGAGAAUACUCGGACAAUCAAAAAUACCACGACGAAUCAAGUGCCCUGCUGGCAAAAGUGUCAAGAACUAGUGACAAUGCUAUGAUUUUUCUGCAAAUUUUAAUUUGUAGUAAUACUCAAGUAGUAGUGAUUUAAAGAUGCACAAUAAAACGGUUCUGAAUC